UACGUAGGUGGCAAGCGUUGUCCGGAUUUACUGGGCGUAAAGAAUGCGUAGGUGGAUAUUUAAGUGGGAUGUGAAAUCCCCGGGCUCAACCCGGGAACUGCAUUCCAAACUGGAUAUCUGGAGUGCAGGAGAGGAAAGUGGAAUUCCUAGUGUAGCGGUGAAAUGCGUAGAUAUUAGGAGGAACACCAGUGGCGAAGGCGACUUUCUGGACUGUAACUGACACUGAGGCAUGAAAGCGUGGGGAGCAAACAGG
rnacentral:rRNA from 1 species